GGGAAAUGUGACCGCAUGAGGAAGAGGACUGGAAAAACUAAAAAACUACAGUGAAGUCUGAAUAGAUGAACGCCCCCAAUAAGGUACAAUUUGGACUUUGACAAGUGACAUGACUCUCUUAAAGCGGUCAUCUUGAUGUCACAAACGUUUAUUAGCCACCUCUUUCAAAGCUAUUGUGACAUCGCUAUAGUAGAUCUAUAGCGAAAAACCAGUACUGGGACUUUGGAAAGAGGAGCUUCAGGACACAAAGCAUGGAAAUGUACGUCCUGAAUCUCAAGACAAUGUCCAGGGCGCACCAAAGCUACAGAGAGAAGAAGCACAGCUGAAGUCUUGAAUAUUAGGUUAACGCUCUCGGCAAGUGGAACAAGCGGACUCCCUCCUUCCCAUGAGCCAGCUGACCUCCACGGGUCUACCCUCACCUCCACCGCCUGUCCCAGCUCCAGAUCGAAGCCCACCACGCAGAUGCAAUGCAGCCAGGUCGAGAAGCGGUCCCAGGGCAGCAACACAGCGGUCCCCGCGGGCUCCUCUUCGUCACCCCCGGGCCCGGUUGGCAGCGUGAUCUCCUCGGCCGGGGAGAUACUACUGGCGUCACGGUCGUCCAGGUCCUCCGAUUCUUCCACCGGCUCCCCCAGCUCCUCCGGGCCUUGCAGAGCCAUACCGACCGGCCCGACGCGGUCACUCCGGGGAAUGUUAAGUGUUUCCUUCACUUGCGAAAGGAGUGGAGGUUUUGGAGAUGCGAGGAAAUGUCAUGUCAAUAUGUUAAUAUUGACAUGUAAAAUAUGUAAUAUGUAUGACAUGCAAUAUGUAAGUAUAUAUGUAAAUAUGUUGCUUUGAUAUUGUAUAAUAGCGUAAUUAUUGCUAAAGCAAACAAUAAUACAGUAUUAACGGACUGUACGGUGGCCGAGAAGUACGUUUUCAAAUUUGUCUCUUACUUGGCCACCGUACAAAAGCAUUAUAGUACAGUAUAAUGUAACAGUAUAAACCGUUUUUUCAAAUCAAUUAUAAUUUUGAAAUACUAUUGAAAAAAUUAAUAAAAAUAUU